CAGACCGUUUACUCCUCAUGGCCCAUCUGAAUCAUCUUCCUACCCCCACUUUUUCCCUUGGCUAGCUGAAGGUUCUACCCUAUUCUUUCUUCUACACAGGCAUUUGGUGAUGGGCAUUUAUUGGCAAGGCAGAGAAUCAAUGGCCACAGUGACCUAUGAAAUGACAUUCUAUGCAACUGAGAUUUAAACAUGGAAUAAUCAUCUUCUGUCUGAAUUGCACUGCUUGGAAAAACUGCCUCUGAAUGCCACAAACUAUACUGACUGUAUGAACUGAACAGAACUGAAUCUGAACAAAACUACUGGAAUUCAACUGAGAUAAACUGCACUCAACUGAACUGCAAGUAACUGAAAUGAAUUCUCUCCCGUCAGUGCUCUUAGAUGCUGGCCCGAUCCAGAACUCUGUAUGCUCGUGUCUUCAUGGGAAAUAGAAGAACUUAAUUCCUAGAAGAUGAGAGGCAAGUAGAGUUUUUGUCUUUUUGUUCAUUUUGUGUUUUGAAACUGUUGCCAUAGAAAUCUCAUUUUAUCUUAAAUAUGACAAUUAUUUUCAAGGCACGGAUAUUCUAGAUUGAAUAAAUCUGGGCUUCUCUUCUCCUC